UGUGACAACCCUCCCCCUUCUAACGGUGGCAGCCAGUGUACGGGGAAGUCUUUUGAGAGACAGCCACACAAUUGUUACGAGGAAACCCUGUGCCCAAGCAAUUGUCCUUCCCAAAAGUGGUUUGAAGACUGUGCGAAGAGCUGCUACAAAUGUCUCGGCGAUUGUGACAAAUUUACAGGGCGGUGCUUGUCCGACACUUGCCAAGCAGGAUAUUUCGGCAGUAGGACGGGCUGUACCCAAGAGUGCGAUGAACUGACUUUUGGCCCGAACUGCAACGGAAGCUGUGAGGAGAAAUGUGGGGGGCCUUGCAGAAAUAAAAUCAC
rnacentral:sRNA from 1 species